rnacentral:rRNA from 1 species
GAUGAACGCUGGCGGCGUGCUUAACACAUGCAAGUCGAACGAUGAAGCCCAGCUUGCUGGGUGGAUUAGUGGCGAACGGGUGAGUAACACGUGAGUAACCUGCCCUUAACUCUGGGAUAAGCCUGGGAAACUGGGUCUAAUACCGGAUAGGAGCGUCCACCGCAUGGUGGGUGUUGGAAAGAUUUAUCGGUUUUGGAUGGACUCGCGGCCUAUCAGCUUGUUGGUGAGGUAAUGGCUCACCAAGGCGACGACGGGUAGCCGGCCUGAGAGGGUGACCGGCCACACUGGGACUGAGACAUGGCCCAGACUCCUACGGGAGGCAGCAGUGGGGAAUAUUGCACAAUGGGCGCAAGCCUGAUGCAGCGACGCCGCGUGAGGGAUGACGGCCUUCGGGUUGUAAACCUCUUUCAGUAGGGAAGAAGCGAAAGUGACGGUACCUGCAGAAGAAGCACCGGCUAACUACGUG